UACAGAGGGUGCAAGCGUUAAUCGGAAUUACUGGGCGUAAAGCGCGCGUAGGUGGUUCGUUAAGUUGGAUGUGAAAGCCCCGGGCUCAACCUGGGAACUGCAUUCAAAACUGUCGAGCUAGAGUAUGGUAGAGGGUGGUGGAAUUUCCUGUGUAGCGGUGAAAUGCGUAGAUAUAGGAAGGAACACCAGUGGCGAAGGCGACCACCUGGACCGAUACUGACACUGAGGUGCGAAAGCGUGGGGAGCAAACAGG
rnacentral:rRNA from 1 species